UCAGUGGCAGAAGCUGGGAACUCUGAUUUUAAUUCGUUUUAAUUUAAAACGAAUUACAAUCAGAGUUCCCAGCUUGUGCCACUGAAA
rnacentral:pre_miRNA from 1 species